rnacentral:rRNA from 1 species
UUGAGUUUUACUGGCUCAGGAUGAACGCUGGCGGCGUGCCUAAUACAUGCAAGUCGAGCGAACAGAUAAGGAGCUUGCUCCUUUGACGUUAGCGGCGGACGGGUGAGUAACACGUGGAUAACCUACCUAUAAGACUGGGAUAACUUCGGGAAACCGGAGCUAAUACCGGAUAACAUAUUGAACCGCAUGGUUCAAUAGUGAAAGGCGGCUUUGCUGUCACUUAUAGAUGGAUCCGCGCCGUAUUAGCUAGUUGGUAAGGUAACGGCUUACCAAGGCAACGAUACGUAGCCGACCUGAGAGGGUGAUCGGCCACACUGGAACUGAGACACGGUCCAGACUCCUACGGGAGGCAGCAGUAGGGAAUCUUCCGCAAUGGGCGAAAGCCUGACGGAGCAACGCCGCGUGAGUGAUGAAGGUCUUCGGAUCGUAAAACUCUGUUAUCAGGGAAGAACAAAUGUGUAAGUAACUGUGCACAUCUGACGCCUUCGAAAGCC